AGCCCACGAGAUCGCAUGAUCUUGGGGGAAAAGGAGCAAUCCGCUUUGAGAUGGCCUCGCGUCCGAUUAGCUAGUUGGUGAGGUAACGGCCCACCAAGGCGGCGAUCGGUAGCCGGACUGAGAGGUUGAACGGCCACAUUGGGACUGAGACACGGCCCAGACUCCUACGGGAGGCAGCAGUGGGGAAUAUUGCACAAUGGAGGAAACUCUGAUGCAGCGACGCCGCGUGGAGGAAGAAGGUCUUCGGAUUGUAAACUCCUGUUGUUGAGGACGAUAAUGACGGUACUCAACAAGGAAGUGACGGCUAACUACGUGCCAGCAGCCGCGGUAAAACGUAGGUCACAAGCGUUGUCCGGAAUUACUGGGUGUAAAGGGAGCGCAGGCGGGAAUGCAAGUUGGGAGUGAAAUCUACGGGCUCAACCCGUAAACUGCUCUCAAAACUGUAUUUCUUGAGUAGUGCAGAGGUAGGCGGAAUUCCCGGUGUAGCGGUGGAAUGCGUAGAUAUCGGGAGGAACACCAGUGGCGAAGGCGGCCUACUGGGCACCAACUGACGCUGAGGCUCGAAAGUGUGGGUAGCAAACAGGAUUAGAUACCCUGGUAGUCCACACCGUAAACGAUGAUUACUAGGUGUUGGGAGAUUGACCCUCUCAGUGCCGCAGU
rnacentral:rRNA from 1 species